GACGAACGCUGGCGGCGUGCUUAACACAUGCAAGUCGAACGGAAAGGCCCUGCUUUUGUGGGGUGCUCGAGUGGCGAACGGGUGAGUAACACGUGAGUAACCUGCCCUUGACUUUGGGAUAACUUCAGGAAACUGGGGCUAAUACCGGAUAGGAGCUCCUGCUGCAUGGUGGGGGUUUGAAAGUUUCGGCGGUUGGGGAUGGACUCGCGGCUUAUCAGCUUGUUGGUGGGGUAGUGGCUUACCAAGGCUUUGACGGGUAGCCGGCCUGGGAGGGUGACCGGCCACAUUGGGCCUGAGAUACGGCCCAGACUCCUACGGGAGGCAGCAGUGGGGAAUAUUGCACAGUGGGCGGAAGCCUGAUGCAGCAACGCCGCGUGCGGGAUGACGGCCUUCGGGUUGUAAACCGCUUUCGCCUGUGACGAAGCGUGAGUGACGGUAAUGGGUAAAGAAGCACCGGCUAACUACGUG
rnacentral:rRNA from 1 species